AUGUUUAGUGCUUGAAAAAUUACAUACAAGGUUUGUUUUUCUAAAUUAUUUAAAAAUUUAUAUAAAUAAUAAUAAAUAAUAUAAUGUUGAAAAAUUAACUGAAAACAAAUAAUGUCUAAUAUAUAAUUUGCUCUCAUGAGAUUGACCAUUUAUUGAAAAAGAAAAAGUCUGAGGCCCACUUUGUUGCUUAUUCAAUUAAAUUCAUAUGUAAUUCAUAUUGAAAUGUAAAAUGUUUUAUUCAGAUAAACAGCACUGCAUUGUUUCUUGUGUAGGUGGUUCUUGGCGACAGGGACACUAUUUGUUGUGUCUAUAUGUUGCAGAAUAGAAAACCUACCAUAUUUUGAGCCUUUGGUAAUAUAUCUGCCAUAUUGUGGGACAUUAUCCAUUCUCUCUUUUCCUCCUCAUCUCUGUCUUUAUCCACCUCCACAUCCAGGCCCUCGGGCCUAAACUGCACUGUGUGGGCCCCGGCAUGUGUGCUUGGGUUUUUUGACCUAUAGAUGCUGUGUUGACAUAGCGCUCAGUACUGCAUAAGCUGAUAAAAAUACAAGUGUUCGGGCUACUGUGCUCAGGUCCUGUAGUAUUACACAAUCAGAUCACUGGACCGUGUACUUUGAUAUUUUAAUAUGAAAGAUUUUAGCAAGUUGACGUCACAGUAACUUUAACAUCAUACACAACCACACACUGAUGCUGCUUCAAAACCUACUCAGCUGCAAUCGGAAUCAAUAUGUAAAGGGAUGGCAUUCAAAAUUUAUAAUUUUUUUAAAAAUCCAUUAUUAUUAUUAUUAUUAUUAUUAUUAUUAUUAUUAUUAUUAUUAUUAUUAUUAUUAUUAAAUUUCCGCUCUCCGUCGUCUCUUUCUCUCUCUCUCUCUUAGGAUAAUCUGGCGAGCGAGAGUCGACCCAUGUGAGGACGGGAUUACACUUUUAUUUGCAGAGCUUUUAUCCUGCUUGCCAUCUGUAGGUACACGAGAGAGACAGAAAGCGGCUUUGACUUUCAGGGACCAUUUCUGUCCACUCUGCUCCACAAAUUAUCACCUCACAUUCCUCCUGCAGCAGAGCUCAGCUAGAGGUCAACACUUCACCCUUCUGGAUCCAUCUUGUCCUUCUUUGCCUGCAAUUAACAGCACUGCCUGCAAUCUGAUCCUGGAGCCCUACAGGUGACUCCUACUGUCAGCUCAUCACCUCCCCUGGAGGUGUCUGCUUCAGUUCCUACAGCGCUCCAAAGUGUCUCCCAGGCAGACACUGUAAGAUAGAUUCCACUCUGUAAAAGAGAUUUAUUGUUAGAUAAUUAGGCCUACUGAUGUACGUUAGUAUGUGGUUGAUACAGGUCCUGAUGUUUAAUGUAAUGAGAAUGCCCCCUUAAGUGUGAACAGAAGACCAAGAGAACUAGAGUAAAGAAUUUUCUCAGAGCGGAGAAGAAUAUGAUAUCUGACACAUAUAGCAAUGCACAGGCAUGGGCAGGUGUCAACACAAUCACUCAUAAACAUACAGCAUAUGCAGUCACACAAACACCUAUUCUUGUCAGAAUCUCCUAUAGACUCCAAAAAUUAAAAUAAAAUAAAAUAAAAUAAAAUAAAAUAAAAUAAA
ensembl:lncRNA